AACGAACGCUGGCGGCAUGCUUAACACAUGCAAGUCGAACGAUAGCCUUCGGGCGAUCGCGGCGCACGGGUGCGUAACGCGGGGGAGUCUCCCCUUAGGUUCGGAAUUACAGCUGGAAACGGCUGCUAAUAACCGAGGAUAUCGCGAGAUCAAAGAAUUAACGCCUGAGGAUGAGCCCGCAUUGGCUGAGGUGGUUGGUGGGGUAAAGGCCUCCCAAGCCGACGAUCCAUAGGGUGUCUGAGAGGCUGAUCCGCCACACUGAGACUAGGAAGCGGCACAGAAUCCUCCGCGAGGCGGCAAUGGGGGAUAUUGCACAGUCGGCUGAAGCCUGAACCAGCACUGCCGCGAAAGUGAUGAAGUCCGUAGGGUUGUAAAGCUCUUUUAACCGGGAAGAUAAUGACGGUACCGAGAGAAUAAGCCCCGGCUAACUCCGUG
rnacentral:rRNA from 1 species